rnacentral:rRNA from 1 species
UACGGAGGAUGCGAGCGUUAUCCGGAUUUAUUGGGUGUAAAGGGAGCGUAGACGGUGAUGCAAGCCAGAUGUGAAAGCCCGGGGCUCAACCCCGGGACUGCAUUUGGAACUGUGCUGCUAGAGUGUCGGAGAGGCAGGCGGAAUUCCUAGUGUAGCGGUGAAAUGCAUAGAUAUUAGGAGGAACACCAGUGGCGAAGGCGGCCUGCUGGACGAUGACUGACGUUGAGGCUCGAAAGCGUGGGGAGCAAACAGG